rnacentral:rRNA from 1 species
UACGAAGGGGGGCUAGCGUUGUUCGGAAUUACUGGGCGUAAAGCGCGCGUAGGCGGUGAUCUUUGUCAGAGGUGAAAGCCUGGGGCUCAACUCCAGAAUUGCCUUUAAGACUGCAUCGCUAGAAUUGUGGAGAGGUAAGUGGAAUUCCGAGUGUAGAGGUGAAAUUCGUAGAUAUUCGGAAGAACACCAGUGGCGAAGGCGACUUACUGGACACAUAUUUGACGCUGAGGUGCGAAAAGCGUGGGGGAGCAAACAGG